UACGUAGGGUGCAAGCGUUAUCCGGAAUUAUUGGGCGUAAAGAGCUCGUAGGCGGUUUGUCGCGUCUGCCGUGAAAGUCCGGGGCUCAACUCCGGAUCUGCGGUGGGUACGGGCAGACUAGAGUGAUGUAGGGGAGACUGGAAUUCCUGGUGUAGCGGUGAAAUGCGCAGAUAUCAGGAGGAACACCGAUGGCGAAGGCAGGUCGUCUGGCGAUUACCUGACGCUGAGGCGCGAAAGCUAGGGGAGCGAACAGG
rnacentral:rRNA from 1 species